GAGGCCUUCCAAGCUUC
rnacentral:misc_RNA from 1 species